rnacentral:rRNA from 1 species
GACGAACGCUGGCGGCGUGCCUAAUACAUGCAAGUCGAGCGAAGUUUUUCUGGUGCUUGCACUAGAAAAACUUAGCGGCGAACGGGUGAGUAACACGUAAAGAACCUGCCUCAUAGACUGGGACAACUAUUGGAAACGAUAGCUAAUACCGGAUAACAGCAUUAACUGCAUGGUUGAUGUUUAAAAGUUGGUUUUGCUAACACUAUGAGAUGGCUUUGCGGUGCAUUAGCUAGUUGGUGGGGUAAAGGCCUACCAAGGCGACGAUGCAUAGCCGACCUGAGAGUGUGAUCGGCCACACUGGGACUGAGACACGGCCCAGACUCCUACGGGAGGCAGCAGUAGGGAAUCUUCCGCAAUGGGCGAAAGCCUGACGGAGCAACGCCGCGUGAGUGAAGAAGGAUUUCGGUUCGUAAAGCUCUGUUGUUAGGGAAGAAUGAUUGUGUAGUAACUAUACACAGUAGAGACGGUACCUAACCAGAAAGCCACGGCUAACUACGUG